rnacentral:rRNA from 1 species
CCUACGGGUGGCAGCAGUGGGGAAUAUUGGGCAAUGGGCGCAAGCCUGACCCAGCAACGCCGCGUGAAGGAAGAAGGCGUGCGGGUGGUAAACUUCGUGUGACAGGGAAGAGCAGAAGACGGGACCGGUCGAAUAAGCCACGGCUAACGACGUGCCAGCAGCCGCGGUAAUACGUAGGGGGCAAGCGUUGUACGGAUUUACUGGGUGUAAAGGGCGUGUAGCCGGGCUGACAAGUCAGAUGUGAAAUCCGGGGGCUCAACCCCCGAACUGCAUUUGAAACUGUUGGUCUUGAGUAUCGGAGAGUCAGGCGGCAUUCCUCGUGUAGCGGUGCAAUGCGUAGCUCUUAGGAGG